AUGAUUAAAGAUAGCUUGCUAUUUUUAUGAAGAGCGGCGAACGGGUGAGUAACGCGUGGGAAAUCUGCCGAGUAGCGGGGGACAACGUUUGGAAACGAACGCUAAUACCGCAUAACAAUGAGAAUCGCAUGAUUCUUAUUUAAAAGAAGCAAUUGCUUCACUACUUGAUGAUCCCGCGUUGUAUUAGCUAGUUGGUAGUGUAAAGGACUACCAAGGCGAUGAUACAUAGCCGACCUGAGAGGGUGAUCGGCCACACUGGGACUGAGACACGGCCCAGACUCCUACGGGAGGCAGCAGUAGGGAAUCUUCGGCAAUGGGGGCAACCCUGACCGAGCAACGCCGCGUGAGUGAAGAAGGUUUUCGGAUCGUAAAACUCUGUUGUUAGAGAAGAACGUU
rnacentral:rRNA from 1 species